CCAUGAGGAUUAAGAGGCAGCCGUUGAAGGUAAACACACAAACGGGGUGACAGCUAGUUGCCAGGUUUUGUGUUUACCAUCAACGGCUGCAGCUCCUUAA
rnacentral:miRNA from 1 species